rnacentral:rRNA from 1 species
UACGGGGGGGGUAAGCGUUGUUCGGAAUUACUGGGCGUAAAGGGCUCGUAGGCGGCCAACUAAGUCAGACGUGAAAUCCCUCAGCUUAACUGGGGAACUGCGUCUGAUACUGGAUGGCUUGGAUUCGGGAGAGGAAUACGGAAUUCCAGGUGUAGCGGUGAAAUGCGUAGAUAUCUGGAGGAACACCGGUGGCGAAGGCGGCAUUCUGGACCGAUAUUGACGCUGAGGAGCGAAAGCCAGGGGAGCAAACGGG